GACCUCUUAAUUCAAAUGACUGGCAGACCCAGUCAUCUGUCCCUGAGGAAGCUUGCAGCCAGCCAGAUGGGCUGAUAAGAGCUGACAGACGACCGGGAAAUGAAUAAAUGCAAAUGUUCCACACCGGGCUUGUGAUAACAUCAAAACUGGCCCACCACAGAUGCACCAGAAAGCAAAGCGUUCCUGGGUCAGGCUGUGUGCAGUCUGGUUGGGACAGAGUCUAGACUGGGCUCAGGCUGAGAAGGACAAACCUGCGAGCGAGCCGAAGGCAGAGGGAAGCAGGGUAUGAGGUGUGGAUGCCGCCAGGAGGACCCUGUUAAGACCUGUGCAGAAGUCCUCAAAAUUCCCUCAGAUGCCAGGCCAUGUGCAAUCCCAGCCACUCUGGAGGCUGAGGCAGAAGGAUGGAAACUUCAAGGCCAGCCUGGCACUUGGCUUCUGUGCCAAAGUCCCACUGGGGACAUCCCAGGCCGAAGCUGGGCCAGGACACAACGGAACUCAGGUAAAGACUUCUCAGCUGGGAAGGCACAGACAAAGCGGUCAGCCACCAGCCUAAGGUCUGACAGCCAGCGAGUGGCGGAGCAGAGUCCCUCUGUCCACACCGAGGCUCCCUGCCCAGAACUUCUGUCCCUCCAAUCUGGUCUCCACACAGCAGCCAAAGGAAAUUUCAAAAUAAAAAUCAGAUUCCCUCUGACUCAUCUUCCCAUGGCUUUAUCUUCUCCAAUCCCCUCUAAACUCCUUAGCAGCCCUAAUCCAGUCGGGUCUCUGUCCACUGUCAUUUUUUGCUUCUUUGUUUUUAGAGACACUUUCACUCUGUGAUUCAGGCUGGUGUGGAACUCAUGGCAAUCCUCCUGCCUCAGCCUCCUGAGUGCUGGGAUUACAGGAAUGUGCCAUCUCACCCAGCUACUGUCAUUUUCUACUACUCUUGUCUGCACCCAGCUUCU
rnacentral:lncRNA from 1 species